rnacentral:rRNA from 1 species
UACGUAGGGUGCAAGCGUUAAUCGGAAUUACUGGGCGUAAAGCGUGCGCAGGCGGCUUUGCAAGACAGAUGUGAAAGCCCCGGGCUUAACCUGGGAAUGGCCGUUGAAACUGGCGAACUGGAGUGUGGCAGAGGGGGGUGGAAUUCCGCGUGUAGCAGUGAAAUGCGUAGAGAUGCGGAGGAACACCGAUGGCGAAGGCAGCCCCCUGGGCUAACACUGACGCUCAGGCACGAAAGCGUGGGGAGCAAACAGG